GCCGGGCGCAGUGGCGCACGCCUGUAGUCCCAGCUACUCGGGAGUCUGAGGCAGGAGGAUCGCUUGAGCCCAGGAGUUCUGGGCUGUAGUGUGCUAUGCUGAUCGGGUGUCCGCACUAAGAUCGGCAUCAAUAUGGUGACCUCCGGGAGAGGGGGGGCCACCAGGUUGCCUAAGGAGGGGUGAACCGGCCCAGGUCGGAAACGGAGCAGGUCAAAACUCCCGUGCUGAUCAGAAAAAUUAAUUCAAAAUUGAUUAAAGACCUAAAUGGAAGACAGGAAACCAU
rnacentral:SRP_RNA from 1 species